AAAACUUUUCCAAAAUAAAAAAUCUGUUCUCAUCAGUUUAAUAUCUGAUCCGUCCCCUAUCUGGGGACCAUAUAUUAAAUAGAUUUUUGGAACAGGGAGAUGGAAUAGGGGCUUGCUCCGUCCACUCCACGCAUCGACCUGGUAUUGCAGUACCUCCAGGAACGGUGCACCCCCU
rnacentral:snRNA from 1 species